rnacentral:rRNA from 1 species
CCUACGGGUGGCAGCAGUGAGGAAUAUUGGUCAAUGGACGAGAGUCUGAACCAGCCAAGUAGCGUGAAGGCUGACUGCCCUAUGGGUUGUAAACUUCUUUUAUAUGGGAAUAAAACGUUCCACGUGUGGGAUUUUGUAUGUACCAUAUGAAUAAGGAUCGGCUAACUCCGUGCCAGCAGCCGCGGUAAUACGGAGGAUCCGAGCGUUAUCCGGAUUUAUUGGGUUUAAAGGUAGCGUAGGUGGAUUGUUAAGUCAGUUGUGAAAGUUUGCGGCGCAACCGUAAAAUUGCAGUUGAAACUGGCAGUCUUGAGUACAGUAGAGGUGGGCGGAAUUCGUGGUGUAGCGGUGAAAUGCUUAGAUAUCACGAAGAACUCCGAUUGCGAAGGCAGUUCACUGGACUGCAACUGACACUGAGGCUCGAAAGUGUGGGUAUCAAACAGGAUUAGAUACCCGAGUAGUC